GAGUUUGAUCCUGGCUCAGAAUGAACGUUGGCGGCGUGGAUUAGGCAUGCAAGACGAGCGAGAAGUUUUAAAAAGAUGCUUCGGUUGAUUUCUAAAACGGACAGCGGCGAAAGGGAGAGUAACGAGUAGAUACGUACCCAAGGGUUCGGGAUAGCCAUGCGAAAGCGUGAGUAAUACCGAAUAAUGUCUCCGGACCAAAGAUUUAUCGCCCUUGGAGCGGUUUGCUUACUAUUAGCUUGUUGGUGGGGUAAAGGCCUACCAAGGCUUAGAUGGUUAGCGGGUGUGAGAGCAUGACCCGUCCCACUGGGACUGAGACACUGCCCAGACACCUACGGGUGGCUGCAGUCGAGGAUCUUCCGCAAUGGACGCAAGUCUGACGGAGCGACGCCGCGUGCUGGAUGAAGGCCCUUGGGUUGUAAACAGCUGUCGUAGGGGAGGAAAUUUUGACCGAUCCUAGGAGGAAGCACAGGCUAAGUUCGUGCCAGCAGCCGCGGUAAUACGAACUGUGCAAACGUUAUUCGGAAUCACUGGGCUUAAAGGGUGCGUAGGCGGGUUGGUAGGUCAGAUGUGAAAGCCCACGGCUCAACCGUGGAAUUGCGUUUGAAACCACUAGUCUUGAGGGGAUCAGAGGAGAGCGGAACUGAUGGUGGAGCGGUGAAAUGCGUUGAUAUUAUCAGGAACACCGGUGGCGAAAGCGGCUCUCUGGGAUCCUUCUGACGCUGAGGCACGAAAGCUAGGGGAGCGAACGGGAUUAGAUACCCCGGUAGUCCUAGCUGUAAACGAUCUGUACUAGUCCGUGGGGACUCCCACAUCUUCUCAGACGUAGCGAAAGUGUUAAGUACAGCGCCUGGGGAGUAUGGUCGCAAGGCUGAAACUCAAAGGAAUGACG
rnacentral:rRNA from 1 species